rnacentral:sRNA from 1 species
CGGUAGUGAUAGAGAGAGUGAUACCAUCGUCUUGGUCAAUGCAAUACUUCUAAUACUACUACAGCAACUGUUUCAAUAGUGCUAAUUCUACAACUGUUUCAAUAUUGCUAAGUCUACAACAACUGUUUCAAUAUUGCUAAGUCUACAACAACUAUUUCAAUAUUGCUAAGUCUACAACAACUAUUUCAAUAUUGCUAAUGCUACAACUAUUGUUUCAAUACUGAUUAUACUACAGGUUGAAAAUGCAACUCUUAUAACAGGCAACAUUUCAAAUCUUGAGGCUUUAAAUGAGUGUGCUAGUGAGAAGACUUCUGCAAGGGAAUAUCUCUUUCAGUUUUAAAUUCUUAAGUGCUAUUACAAUAAUAUCAUUCAAAUGAACUCAUGCGAUGGAUUCAUGGCCUGCUUCUAACACAGCAAGUGAUAUGAACAUUGGAUGGUCAUUGAAGGAUUCGAUCCUGUACUGAGAACUACAACAGAAACACAGCAAGUGAUAUGAACAUUGGAUGGCCAUUGAAGGAUUCGAUCCUGUACUGAGAACUACAACAGAAACACAGCAAGUGAUAUGAACAUUGGAUGGUCAUUGAAGGAUUUGAUCCUGUACUGAGAACUACAACAGAAACACAGCAUACGAAAUAAAAGAGUUCUGGUCAUGACA